AUUUACAACAGAUGGAUGAAGUAUUGAAGGCUGAUCUCAAAAUGCUGAACCUUACAAAAGAGAUGACAGAAGACUGAGAUAUGUAGAGCAUUGCAGUACUUGAGAAGACCCACCCACCACAACAGAAUUGAGAUCCUAAAACCAAGGUGCCAUGUAAAAAGCAUUGGUGUGGGUGCUGGUAUGACAUAAAAAGCACUGGUGGUGAUGCCACAUAGAAAGCACCCAGUAUUCUCUGUGGAGUGGCUGACAUUAGGAAGGGAAUCCAACCAUAGAUACCAAGCCAAAGCAGACUAUGGAAUCUGGUGCAGGCCCUGGUCUUGCCAGUUCCUGUCAAGCCAUACAACCCAUGCUAGCAUAGAAAACAGACAUUAAAUGUUGAUGAUGAUGGU